CUGCAAUGUGGUACUUUGUUAGUUUCAAUCUAUACAUUUCAUUUGAAAAGACACUACAGCUAUUACUGAUGAUCACAUCGAUACAGUGAAACAGCUGCUGCUUUUUUGACAACCGGAACUUGAAAAUGGUUAACAUCAAUUUUAAAAAUGGCGCGAAAAUUUGAAUGUAAAAAUAUAUAAGCAAUAUUAUUAUAAAAAAUUUAUGAAGUAUAUAAUAAAAAAAUUAAUAAAAA